UGGGGAAUAUUGGACAAUGGGCGCAAGCCUGAUCCAGCCAUGCCGCGUGAGUGAUGAAGGCCCUAGGGUUGUAAAGCUCUUUCACCGGUGAAGAUAAUGACGGUAACCGGAGAAGAAGCCCCGGCUAACUUCGUGCCAGCAGCCGCGGUAAUACGAAGGGGCUAGCGUUGUUCGGAUUUACUGGGCGUAAAGCGCACGUAGGCGGACUUUUAAGUCAGGGGUGAAAUCCCGGGGCUCAACCCCGGAACUGCCUUUGAUACUGGAAGUCUUGAGUAUGGUAGAGGUGAGUGGAAUUCCGAGUGUAGAGGUGAAAUUCGUAGAUAUUCGGAGGAACACCAGUGGCGAAGGCGGCUCACUGGACCAUUACUGACGCUGAGGUGCGAAAGCGUGGGGAGCAAACAGG
rnacentral:rRNA from 1 species